rfam:Pan troglodytes isolate Yerkes chimp pedigree #C0471 (Clint) chromosome 2B, whole genome shotgun sequence.
UAGAUUGAAGCCAGUUGAUUAGAGUGUUUAUCUGUUAAUUAAAUGUUCGUGGGUUUAAGUCCCAUCAAUCUAG